rnacentral:rRNA from 1 species
GACGAACGCUGGCGGCGUGCUUAACACAUGCAAGUCGAACGGAAAGGCCCUGCUUUUGUGGGGUGCUCGAGUGGCGAACGGGUGAGUAACACGUGAGUAACCUGCCCUUGACUUUGGGAUAACUUCAGGAAACUGGGGCUAAUACCGGAUAGGAGCUCCUGCUGCAUGGUGGGGGUUGGAAAGUUUCGGCGGUUGGGGAUGGACUCGCGGCUUAUCAGCUUGUUGGUGGGGUAGUGGCUUACCAAGGCUUUGACGGGUAGCCGGCCUGAGAGGGUGACCGGCCACAUUGGGACUGAGGUACGGCCCAGCCUCCUCCGGGAGGCAGCAGUGGGGAAUAUUGCACGAUGGGCGGAAGCCUGAUGCAGCAACGCCGCGUGCGGGAUGACGGCCUUCGGGUUGUAUACCGCUUUCGCCUGUGACGAAGCGUGAGUGACGGUAAUGGGUAAAGAAGCACCGGCUAACUACGUG